rnacentral:rRNA from 1 species
CCCUUAGAUGUCCGGGGCCGCACGCGCGCUACACUGAAGGAAUCAGCGUGGCUUUCUCCCUGACCCGAAAGGGUUGGGAAACACGUUGAAUCUCCUUCGUGAUAGGGAUUGGGGCUUGAAAUUGUUCCCCAUGAACGAGGAAUUCCCAGUAAGCGCGAGUCAUAAGCUCGCGUUGAUUACGUCCCUGCCCUUUGUACACACCGCCCGUCGCUACUACCGAUUGAACGGUUUAGUGAGGGCCUCGGAUUGGUCUCGGCCCGCUCUUUACCGGGCGGCGCCGUUGGUCGAGAAGACGCUCGAACUUGAUCGUUUAGAGGAAGUAAAAGUCGUAACA